rnacentral:rRNA from 1 species
UGGGGAAUAUUGGACAAUGGGGGGAACCCUGAUCCAGCCAUGCCGCGUGUGUGAAGAAGGCCUUAUGGUUGUAAAGCACUUUAAGCGAGGAGGAGGGUACUGGUAUUAAUACUACCAGGUACUGGACGUUACUCGCAGAAUAAGCACCGGCUAACUCUGUGCCAGCAGCCGCGGUAAUACAGAGGGUGCGAGCGUUAAUCGGAUUUACUGGGCGUAAAGCGUGCGUAGGCGGCUAAUUAAGUCGGAUGUGAAAUCCCCGAGCUUAACUUGGGAAUUGCAUUCGAUACUGGUUAGCUAGAGUGUGGGAGAGGAUGGUAGAAUUCCAGGUGUAGCGGUGAAAUGCGUAGAGAUCUGGAGGAAUACCGAUGGCGAAGGCAGCCAUCUGGCCUAACACUGACGCUGAGGUACGAAAGCAUGGGGAGCAAACAGG